UGAGGGGUGAAAUAUACUUAUAAUAUACUUUCUAACAUAGAAAGUAUAUUAUAGUGCAUUUGUAUUUGCAGCAGUUGUUUGCGGUUCUGCUGCGAUACCUCAGGUAUAUAGAGCGGCAAGCGUUAUUGAAACAACUUUUUGCAACAGGUGUGAUAUACCUGUUGCCCCCCAAAAAACGGACUAUGGGAUGCAAUAUACCUGCUUCCACCAAAUAUUGAUUCAGGGGUUCUA